CCUACGGGUGGCUGCAGUAAGGAAUAUUGGACAAUGGAGGCAACUCUGAUCCAGCCAUGCCGCGUGAAGGAUUAAGGCCCUAUGGGUUGUAAACUUCUUUUAGACGGGACAAAACCCCUUUACGUGUAAAGGGUUGAUGGUACUGUCAGAAUAAGCAUCGGCUAACUUCGUGCCAGCAGCCGCGGUAAUACGAAGUAUGCAAGCGUUAUCCGGAUUUAUUGGGGCGUAAGGGGACUUAGACGUCCUAAUUGAAAGCCUGCAGCUUAACUGCAGAAUUGCCGUUGAUACUGUUAGUCUUGAGUACAGUUGAGGUAGGCGGAAUGUGUCAUGUAGCGGUGAAAUGCUUAGAUAUGACACAGAACACCGAUUGCGAAGGCAGCUUGCUAAGCUGUAACUGACGCUGAGGCACGAAAGCGUGGGGAGCAAACAGGAUUAGAUACCCCUGUAGUC
rnacentral:rRNA from 1 species